rnacentral:rRNA from 1 species
UACGGAGGGAGCUAGCGUUGUUCGGAAUUACUGGGCGUAAAGCGCACGUAGGCGGCUUUGUAAGUUAGAGGUGAAAGCCCGGGGCUCAACUCCGGAACUGCCUUUAAGACUGCAUCGCUUGAAUCCAGGAGAGGUGAGUGGAAUUCCGAGUGUAGAGGUGAAAUUCGUAGAUAUUCGGAAGAACACCAGUGGCGAAGGCGACUUACUGGACGACUGUUGACGCUGAGGUGCGAAAGCGUGGGGAGCAAACAGG